rnacentral:tRNA from 1 species
UUCCUGGUUGUCCAAUGGUUAGGACUCCACGCUUUCACUGCCAUGGCCCAGGUUUCAAUCCCUGGUCAGGAAA